rnacentral:rRNA from 1 species
CAAUAGCGUAUAUUAAAGUUGUUGCAGUUAAAAAGCUCGUAGUUGAAUUUCUGGCGGGCGCGCCGGUCUUCCAAGUGUUGUACUGGGCGCAGUCCGCCAUCCUUGUGGAGAGGGCUCGCAUUGAGUUGCGUGUCGGAUCUGCAUCAUUUACUGUGAGUGUUCAAAGCAGGCUGUCGCUUGAAUACAUUAGCAUGGAAUAAUAAGAUAGGACUUCGGUCUAUUUUGUUGGUUGCGAACCGAGGUAAUGAUUAAUAGGGAUAGUUGGGGGUAUUCAUAUUUAAUUGUCAGAGGUGAAAUUCUUGGAUUUAUGAAAGAUGAACAACUGCGAAAGCAUUUACCAAGGAUGUUUUCAUUA